GGACGGCUUUAAGGGGGAGGAUUUGAAAAGUUGUUGGCUCCCAUUUGAAAUUUUCUUGUAUUUAAAUUGUGGCCGACCUCUUGGACUUUGAAUUUGGGUGACGUGUCAACUUGUAUGAGGUGGCAUGGUGAUUGGUUUUUUUGAUUUUGACUCUUUCAUUUGGCAUUAUCCUCUUGGUUGAGAUGAUUGCUGAUGUGGUGUUGAGGUGGUGUCUGGUUGAGAUGAUUGCUGAUAUGGUAUUGAGGUGGCAUCCCAAUAGGUGUCACAUAGCAUGUUGCAUAGUGAUUGGUUCUUCUGAUGAGGUGGCAUGACGUUGCAUUGGUUUUAUUUGAUGAGAUGAUGUGGUCGGCUCCUUAUGCUUGACUUCAUCUUGGUUGGCGUGCUUCCAUUGGUUUGAGUGGUGGUGAGGUGGCCAGCUGAUGUUGAUGUGGAUGCCGAGGUGGUGCUCCAAGGGUGUGCAAAGGUGGUGGUAGAAACAUGCAACAUGUCCUAACUGGCUUGCUUUCUGACUUAUUGAGGCUUGCUCUCUGACGUAUUGAUUUUAUUUACAGGACUCGAUCAAAGCCACAGUGACCUUGAGUUAAUUGAUUGGAGUCUUUUCUGGAUUCUGGUGCCCGCACCAAUUCUUCCGGGGUGGGAAGAAUUCGACUCUGUCGAACAGGGGUUGGUUUGGCUGUGGUACUUUUCUAGGAGAUCUGGGUUGAGUCUCUGUAGGUCCUCUCGAGUAAUCCAUGAAUCAUCAGAUUUUGGUCGACCCUCCCAGUGAACCAAAUAGCGUUGGUACCCUUUGUUCCGGAUGGUGAUAGCUUGAUCAUCCAAAACAUGUUCAACUCUAUCUCUCGAUUUUGGAAAUGUGGCUGGAGGGCACUCAGGUGUGGGUUCACUCUCAAUGGGAGCAUGAUCAAAAGGCUCACUAGGUAUAAAUGUUGGUCCCUUAUACUCUAUAAGGUUUGAGAUGUUGAAGGUCGAGCUAAUACCAAAAUCAAGAGGUAAGUCAACCACAUAAGCGUUAGGUUC
rnacentral:lncRNA from 1 species